rnacentral:misc_RNA from 1 species
GAUGAAGAACGCAGCGAAAUGCGAUAACUAAUGUGAAUUGCAGAAUUCCGUGAAUCAUCGAGUCUUUGAACGCACAUUGCGCCCCCUGGUAUUCCGGGGGGCAUGCCUGUCCGAGCGUCAUUGCUGCCCAUCAAGCACGGCUUGUGUGUUGGGUCCCGUCCCCCUCUCCCGGGGGACGGACCCGAAAGGCAGCGGCGGCACCGCGUCCGGUCCUCGAGCGUAUGGGGCUUUGUCACCCGCUCUUGUAGGCCCGGCCGGCGCUUGCCGACACCCAACCAUUUUUUUCAGGUUGACCUCGGAUCAGGUAGGGAUACCCGCUGAACUUAAGCAUAUCAAUAAGCGGAGGA